AUUAUUAAUGCAAUGGGCUUGAAUGGGUAAUUUAUCAUGAAGAAUAAUCUUUUGAAAAGAAAACCCUAAAUUCUGUUUCAUUUUGACCGGGGCUGCUCUGUCUAAUUGUAAACCAUGUGGCGGCCAUGUUCAUGAUUUAAUGUAACAAUAAAUUAUCUUUUUCCUCUAAAUCUAGAUUAUCAGUUCAAAAUCUUCUACUCGACGUCUAUAUCUAUAAAUCCUUUAUAACUAGUUCAGUCCUAGUCUAAAAACCAAUGUUACGACUCAAUUCAAUAAUUCAUGUUGAUGGGUCUAGACUGAAUCGAUUUAAGAUAAUUUAUCUUAUCGUAAUUACUAAUUUUAUUAGAUUUAUUUAAAUAGAACUAAUAAUUUAAAAUUUAGAUAGAUCUAUCUAGACUAGUUACUAGAUCUAUAGAAAUUCUCAAUCAAGAUUAUCUAAAUCUAUAUAGAUCAAGAAGAAGAACAGUUUAAAGAAAAUAAUACCAGUGUUAUGCUCCUUUCACCAUUGAGUUCCAGGAUGAAGAAUGAAAGACAGAGAGCAAUGUGAAGACAUCAAAGAAUGUGCAGGUCUGCCAUGAAAUGGUUUAUCCAGGGCUAAGUAAAGAGAGGAAUAUAGAAGGGCUGUUGACUGAUCUUGUGUGGUGCCCCCAUGGCUCAACAGACUGAUUGAUAGAAAAUAAUACCAGGGUUAUGUUCCUUUCACUGUUGAGUUCCUGGAUGAAGAAUGAAAGACAGAGAGCAAUGUGAAGACAUCAAAGAAUGUGCAGGUCUGCCAUGAAAUGGUUUAUCCAGGGCUAAGUACAGAGAGGAAUAUAGAAGGGCUGUUGACAGAUCUUGUGUGGUGCCCCCAUGGUUCAAAAGACUGAUUGAUAAGUAAUGAAAAUAAUACCAGGGUAAUGGUCCUUUCACUGUUGAGUUCCAGGAUGAAGAAUGAGAAAGACAGUGAGCAAUGUGAAGACAUCAAAGAAUGUGCAGGUCUAUUAUGAAAUGGUUUAUCCAGGGCUAAGUACAGAGAGGAAUAUAGAAGGGCUGUUGACAGAUCUUGUGUGGUGCCCCCAUGGUUCAACAGACUGAUUGAUAGG